ensembl:lncRNA
GAGAUAGAGAGACAGGAAGAGAGUGAAACAGUAGAGAGAGAAAGAGAAAAAGAAAGAGAGUUAGUAAGACAAAAUUUCCAACCUAAUACUGGCCGUGAGUAGCAGACUGACAUUUAAAGAAGAGAGAGAAAAAGUCAGACAGGCUGGUGUGAUAUGUGAUAUUUUUCAGCUGUUUCCCUCCAAAUGAACUCAGAGGACAGGCUCCGAUGGCGACCUGGCCAAAGACAUGAACAACUGCAAGACAACACUCAGUUACACAUGAAUAUGACAAUCAAAAGCAUUAUGUAAAAUGCAGUAAGCAAGAGAUGAAUCUGUUUCCAUAUUAGAUGAUAAUUCCCAAGGACAGGAGGAAUCAGGGCACCAGGUCAGAGUGGACCAGAAGACCAGAACAGAGGUGAUUGGAACUGAGGUUACCAGGGCAGAGGGGACCAGGUCAGAGGGGACCAGGGUACCGGGGCAGAGGGGACCAGGUCAGAGUGGACCAGAAGAACAAAACAGAGGUGAUUGGAACAGAGGUUACCAGGUCAGAGGGGACUAGGGGACCAGGGCAGAGGGGACUAGGGGACCAGGGCUGAGGGG